GAGCCCAAGAUUGAAAGCUGGCGUCUUCGGCGUCCGCAUUGUAAUCUCAAGAAGUGUUUUCCGCUUCGGACCAAGCCUAAGUCCCCUGGAAAGGGGCAUCAUAGAGGGUGAUAAUCCCGUACAUGGCUUGGAGCGCCCGAGGCUUUGUGAUACGCUUUCUAAGAGUCGAGUUGUUUGGGAAUGCAGCUCAAAAUGGGUGGUAAAUGCCAUCUAAGGCUAAAUAUUGGGGAGAGACCGAUAGCGAACAAGUACAGUGAUGGAAAGAUGAAAAGAACUUUGAAAAGAGAGUUAAACAGUACGUGAAAUUGCCAAAAGGGAAGGGUAGGAGGUCAGAGAUGCGGCCUGGGAUUCAGCCUUGCUUUUGCUUGGUGUUUUUCCCAGAUUGCAGGCCAACGUCGGUUUUGGGCACUGGAGAAGGGUAGGAGGAACGUGGCACCCCUCGGGGUGUGUUAUAGCCUCCUACUGGAUACAGCGACCGAGACCGAGGACAGCAGCGUACUCGCAAGAGCGGGCCUUCGGGCACCUUUACGCUUAGGGCGUUGGCAUAAUGGCCCUCUACCACCCGUCU
rnacentral:rRNA from 1 species